UAUCUUAUCCUCUUCCCAAAAAAAAUUAAUUAGCUCCCAUCAACGUCCAAUUUCCCCCCAAAGAGCCAAAACCAUCGCCCUCUCUUUCUCUCUUCUCAUCCAUCUUCCCCUUCAUGCCAAAAAUGACCAACUAAUAAAUCUAGCCGCAUUAGUGUAGUCUUCCGCUAGCCUAUUCAAGGUUCACUCUUUUUUUCCCGUCCAAGCCCGUGAAUCCGCAAAAACUAGAGAAAUCAGUUCCUAAAUUGUGAUACUACGGAAAAACUUUUCAAAUCCGCCAUCAAUGUCUUGAAGAAAAAAAGAUUCGUCUCAGGUUUUCUUUUCAAACGUCAAAUUAAUUUUAUCACAUGUUGGUUUGUUUUGAGUUUUGAAUUCGGAUUUUUGAGUCCGGAUUCACCUAUAAAUAUGGGUGUUUCUCCAUCUCCAUAGAGAAGCGGGGGAAGAUCUGGAAAAAAAAAAGGGGAUGUGAACAGGUUCCAAAAUUAGGGGUAUGAAAUUUUGAUUUUUCUAGUGCUUUCUUUUGAUUUUGUCCAAAUUUGAAGUUUCGGAGUGGGUUCAUAGUCCCCGGAAACUAUCCCAACGUCACCAUUCCAGUUUACUGCACCUGAAAAGAUGCGGACACACCCCUUUCUCGCUUUGUUUUCAUUUUUUUCUCUUCAUCUAUUUUCAAUUGUGUUAAAUAUAAGAGGUAUUUUGAUUUCGAGCUAUGUUGUUGUUGGUAUCCUGGCUCUGCGGGUAGAUAUUGUAGUUUGUGAAUUGGAAAAUCAUUUGGUGCUAAAUACAUAUGUUUAUACAUUUGUUUAUCUUGUUUUAUUGUUGUGGUCCUUUGGGAAUCUCAUCGAUGAACGUGAUUUUAAUAUGAAAGUUUAUGUUGUGUGUUCGCGGGUUUGUUAGUAUUUGAAUAAGUCUUUUCCGGGUUUGUUGUUAACUCUUAGAAAAAUGAAUUUGGGUGUGAAUUUGACCAAGCUUGUGUCUUCGUUAUUGAUCCCAAAAUACGCUUAUAUUUGAUUUCAAUGAAAUUACGUCGUCGCUGAUUUGUGGGAAAACGCUCGAUUCCUUUGUUUUCCUGUUUGGUCGCUAUUGUCUUUCAUUAUGUGUGGAUUAAUUUCUCAAAUUUGAUGUUGUUUUAAAUUUUCUUAAUUUAAGGACAUUCCCUUCUUAUGGUUGAAAGUUGCUUUGUGCAAGGAAAAGGUGUCCCAUCUUAAUCGCUCAAUCAUUUUCGAAUUGCUUUUGUAAGAGGUUUUUUUUAAAGCCAAAAAAUCGUUUUAGAAUAUUGUGGUAGCAGUUGAAACUUUUGAAAUAGUUAGCAUUGUUUAUCUUUGGUAAAAUUGAGUUGAAGGAAAGUUUUCUUGCCUCAUGCAAAAAUAUGAAUGUAUGUUUAUUACUACGAUAGGGUUUUUUCAUUAGGAUUUCUUUUAAUCAAAUGGGUAUUGAUUAAAUUGAUUAGAGAAUGUAUACAUGCUCUGUUGUUUAGGCUGUGUGCGUACAUACGUAGAAUAGUGAAUGUUAAAAGAUAAAAGAUAAAUUUGUAUCG
rnacentral:lncRNA from 1 species